CAUGGGAACAGAGCUGAAUGGAAAGACCCUGGGAAUUCUUGGCCUGGGAAGGAUUGGGAGAGAGGUGGCUACCCGGAUGCAGUCCUUUGGGAUGAAGACGAUAGGGUAUGACCCCAUCAUUUCCCCAGAGGUCUCGGCCUCCUUUGGUGUUUCAGCAGCUGCCCCUGGAGGAGAUCUGGCCUCUCUGUGAUUUCAUCACUGUGCACACUCCUCUCCUGCCCUCCACCAGAGGCUUAUCCAACAACAGCACCUGUGCCCAGUGCAAGAAGGGGGUACAUGUGGUGAACUGUGCCUGCGGAGGGAUCGUGGACGAAGGUGCCCUGCUCCGGGCCCUGCAGUCGGGCCAGUGUGCCGAGGCUGCGCUGGACGUGUUUACGGAAGAGCCACCACGGGACCGAAAUUUGAUGGACCAUGAGAAUGUCAUCAGCUGUCCCCACCUGGGUGUGAGCACCAAAAAGGCGAAGAGCCGCUGUGGGGAGGAAAUUGCUGUUCAGUUCGUGGACAUGGUGAAGCUCUCACAGGGCUUGUAAAUGCCCAGGCCCUUACCAGCGCCUUCUCUCCACAUACCAAGCCUUGGAUUGGUCUGGCAGAAGCUCGGGGGACACUGAUGCGAGCCUGGGCUGGGUCUCCCAAAGGGACUAUCCAGGUGAUAACACAAGGAACAUCCCUGAAGAAUGCUGGGAACUGCCUAAGCCCUGCAGUCAUCGUCGGCCUCUUGAAGGAGGCUUCCAAGCAGGAGGAUGUGAACUUAGUGAACGUCAAGCUGCUGGUGAAAGAGGCUGGCCUCAAUGUCACCACCUCCCACAGCCCGGCACCACCAGGGGAGCAGGGCUUCGGGGAAUGUCUCCUGGCUGUGGCCUUGGCAGGCGCCCCUUACCAGGCUGUGGGUUUGGUCCAAGGCACCACACCUGUGCUGCAGGGGCUCAGUGGAGCUGUCUUCAGGCCGAAAGUGCCUCUCCGCAGGGGCCUGUCCCUGCUCCUAUUCCAGAUUCAGGCUUCUGACCCUGCAAUGCUGCCUACCAUGACUGGCCUCCUGGCAGAGGCAGGCAUGCGGCUGCUGUCCUACCAGACUUUACUGAUGUCAGACGGGGAGACCUGGCACGUCAUGGGCAUCUCCUCCUUGCCUGCCCAGCCUGGAAGCGUGGAAGCAGCAUGUGACCGAGGCCUUCCACUUCUACUUCUAA